GGCUCCAUGGAUCCAUGGUUAGAGCUCUGGUCUUGUAAAUCAGGGGUCUCAAGUUCAGUCCUCGCUGGGGCCU
rnacentral:tRNA from 1 species